GGAACCCAAACCUCAUGGUUCCUAGUCGGAUUUGUUUCCUCUGAGCCAUGAUGGGAACUCCGAUUAUUUUAAUGUCAGUGAAAUAUUGGAGAAAGCCAAAAGAAAGACAGCCCUGGGUAAAAACUGAGAUGGGUGUGUGACUGGGGGCGUCUCACCCAUGAAGAGCUUCUGGGCUUAUACAAGCAUUCGUUUGAACCCCAGGUCUCCAUUUAAAGGUGGAGUGUGAUACAGGGGUGAGUGGUGAAAGCAUAUCGUGAAGGUAUAUUGCCAGCAUUCCAAAGGGAGACUCAGGAGUAGUUUCACGUGUACUCUGUCCCAAGUCAAGCCAUUCAGUGAGGAGCAAUAAAAAAACACAAGACUCACAAGAAAUGAGGACGCUCUUUGGAAAUUUUCAUGUACCUACAGGACUACAGUUUUUUACACUACAGUUCACUUAGCAUUGGAAAUAAAGGUGCCUUUGGGUACGUGACUGCCCUUAUGAUUUGCGUAGUGAGUCCCACAGUCUCAUGACUAAUCGUAAGAAUUUUCUUUUUCUCCUUCUCAUUUAUUUUAGGGGAGAUUUCCCAAAGAGUUCUGUUCUUUAGGGUUUCACAAAGAUGUGGUAGAGCUUAGUUUCAGCAAAUUUCAUCCUCUUGUUUCUUUAGACUCUGUUAAGCAUAUGAAAAUUUAGUUUGGUGUGGGUCAGGCCCAGGCAGUAUAAGAACCCUGGAUAACAAAAGAGACAAGAAAGAAUAACUAAUGUGUUACGCCCUCAUAAGCCUCUCUAUUCCAAAGGUACCUUCUUGGCGAGAGGUCCAUUGAAAGGACUCUUUUUUUCCUCCCUCAAAUCCAAUAACCACCACCACCCGGGCACACACGGGUGUAUUCACAUUUUUCCUUUUAUAAUCUAGAAAUGUUAAACGAAUCCGAGAAUACAUUACUUAUUAUUAAAUGACACUUUUCAGUGCAAGGUGUUUUUUCCUUUCACAAUGGAGCUCAUAGUCAGUUGUUUAUAGUCAGUUGUUCUGUGACAUUAGCACAUUACAGUUAUCCUUAGUUUGUUAGUCAAGAAAGUAUUGGGAAUAUUAGACAUCUCCAGGGAAAUUUUUUAAACACAUAUUACCAGCUGAGUGAACAUUUAUCCUUUCCAAGAAUAUAAAAUUUGUGACUCAUUUUUAUCUUUGGUUUUCCACUGUAAAGAAUGGGUGUCAGCUUCCUAUGUAAUUUUGAUUUGUUUAUCCAGCAGUUUUGUUUGUCCGUGCAGUUUUCUGUGUGCCAAUUGUGGUCAAUAGUUGGUUUCCAUAAAAGGUAUGAGUUUUCUUUGAGGCUGUCUUUCUUGCUGUUGCCAAACCCACAACUGAUGCACCAUUACUUCGACUUUUGUUCUUAAUUUAAACUUGGCACCAAUCCUUUCCUUGGUGUAAAACAUGAAACAAACUCCAUCUUGACCUGGAAUCUGGGGAGGAAACUAUUUACUUGACAUUCUCUAAAGGGAUAUAGGAACAGAGUGUUUGCGUUGCUCUUAUAGGGACAAAACUGUUACCUGGAUGUGCUAGUACCCAUGAGUUCAGGGUUGGCACUGCUAAUAAAAAAAAAGAUCUGCCCAAGUCCCUUUUUCUCAGUUUUAAAGGAAAAGCAGAUAAAGAUGCAUCAACAUGCCUCAGUUAAAUGGAAUGCAAAGCAAUCCAUUGAAAAAGCCCUAGGGCUUGUUCCUGCUGCAGUCCUACUGGACAGUCAGUAUUGUGUAGGUUUAGAUCAAGAUGGCCUGGGUUUGAAUCCUGACUCUACCAGGGAUACGCCCUGGUGAAUUGUUUCACCUCUCUGAGUUAGUUUUCUCGAACGUAACAUGAGACAUCAAAUUUUUGGCCUCAUAGAGCCCUUGUGAGGGUCCACGUAAGUGAUUUAGAACAGGGAAUGACACAGGAGCCUCCUCCUUCUCCUCAUCUUUCAAAAUUAAACAGGCAAGCUACGUUCCUUUUUGGCAAGACUGGGAUUCAGAGCUGUAAAGGGUUAGCUUUGGGCGUUCUGGCCUCAUUAUCUCCCUGCUCUAACUCACCUGGUCGGUGACAUAGUCUUUGCUUCUUACGUAGCAGAUGGAUGGUAACCCUGUGACCUGAAGGUGCUAAGAUGUCAACCAUUCAAUCAUAUUUUAUGAAUAAUUUGGGUCUUGCAAACUCAGUUCAUCCAUACUUUGGAAUUCGUUCAAUCUUCAGCUAACAGCAAUGUGAAGCAAGAAAUUGAAACCACAUAAAAAAAGUAAAAAAAAA
ensembl:lncRNA